UUCAUGAAUUCACGUCGUUGCUUUUUAAAUUUGCUCACAUCCAAACUCUUCAAGUAAAGAAGACUCAUAUUUGGCUUAGCAAAUCCAAAGAGAGAAGCAAACACUGAAACAAUCAUCUUUGGCUUCGAUGGCCAACCAAGGAGCCUCUUCUUCUUCUGCCCCUUUCACCAAGUCAUGGAAAUACCAUGUCUUUCUGAGCUUUAGAGGUUUUGACACUCGCUCAAAUUUCACAAGCCAUUUGUAUAGUGCUUUGCGUCGAGAAGGAAUUAACACCUUCAUGGAUGAUGAUGAGCUCAGAAGAGGAGAAGAAAUAUCAAACGCACUUCUCACAGCAAUUGAAGACUCAAAGAUUUCUGUGGUUGUCUUCUCCGAAAACUAUGCCUCCUCAAAGUGGUGCUUGGAUGAGCUUGUUAAGAUUCUUGAUUGCAAAGAAUCAAAUCAACAAUUGGUCAUCCCAGUUUUUUACAAGGUGAAUCCAUCAGAUGUACGGAAUCAAAGAGGAAGUUUCAGGGAUGCACUGGCUAACAUGGACUGCAAUAACUUGGAGAAGGUCAACAGAUGGAAGGAAGCACUUUCACAAGCAGGAAAAUUGGCGGGGUUCACUCUGUCCGAUGAAUAUAGAUCUGAAGCUGAACUGAUUCAUAAAAUUGUUCAAGACAUUUCACAGCAAGUAAGAGACCGUACAUAUUUAUAUGUGACAGAGUAUCCAGUUAGAAUGUGCCAUCCUGUAGAAUAUAUACUUAAGCUUUUAGAUUUGGGGGAAAAAGACGUCCGUAUGGCAGGGUUAUGGGGAACUGGUGGAAUUGGCAAGACCACAAUUGCUAAAGCUGUUUAUAAUUCAAUUGCCCAUGAAUUUGAAGGUUUUUGUUUUUUGGAAAGCGUUAGAGAAUGUUCAAUGUCGCAUGGAGGUUUAGCCAAACUGCAAAAGACUCUUCUUUUUGAGAUUCUAGGGGGGAGAAAAUUGAAGGUGACCAAUGUUGAUAAGGGAGUCACUAUGAUAAAGGAAUGGUUGAGGGGUAGAAAGGUUCUCUUGGUUCUUGACGACGUGGAUGACAUGGAACAGUUACACAAGUUAGUUGGGGCAUGUGAUUGGUUUGGUGUAGGCAGUAGAAUUAUCAUAACAACAAGAGAUAAGCAACUGUUAACUGCUCAUCAUGUUAAUUUAAUACAUGAGGUCAAGAUUUUAGAUGAUCCUGAAGCUCUUGAGCUCUUCUGUUGGCAUGCCUUCAAAAGAAGUGAGCCUCCUUUGGGUGAUUAUGUGAAACUUGCAGAACGUGCAAUACGCUAUGCUCAAGGCCUUCCUUUGGCCUUGAAAGUUCUCGGUUCUUGUCUAUGUGGUGGAAGUACAGAUAAAUGGGAAGCUGCAUUGAAUGGUUUCAAAAGCACGAAAAUUCAGGACGUUCUCAAAAUAAGUUCCGAUGCCUUGGAUGAUGACGGGGUAAAGGAGGUUUUCCUUGACAUUGCAUGUUUCUUUAAGGGUAGAAAUAAAAAGCGUGUGACAGAAUUACUUGUAGCUUGUGGCCUCAACGCUGGGUAUGGCAUUGAAGUGCUCAUAGAAAAGGCACUCAUAAGUGUUAAAUUAGAUUAUAUUGAGAUGCAUGACUUACUAGAAGAGAUGGGUAAGGACAUAGUUGAGCAAGAGUCGCCCACUGAAGCCGGAGGUCGUAGCAGAUUGUGGUCUCAUGAAAAUAUCGAGCAUGUUUUGGCGAAUAAUACAGGAACAAAUCAAAUCACACGCAUUGUGUUAAAUUUUCCCAAGCGAGAUGAUGAUAAACGCUUCAUGUUAAAUUUUCUCGACGGCGAUGAUGAGAGACAGUUAAAUUUCCACAACCCAUAUGAGAUUUGCUUGAAUGCUGAUAGUUUCUCGAAGAUGAAAAAUCUUAAAAUUUUCAUAAUCUAUAAUGCAUGCAUUUCUGGUGAUAUUGACUAUCUCCCAAACUCGUUAAGAGUGCUUGAUUGGUGUGGAUGUCCGUUCCAAUCUUUUCCCCCCAGUUUUCGUCCAAAGCAACUGGUUGUGCUCAAUAUGCUUUGUAACCGCAUCAAACAACUAGGGGAGGGAUUGAAGCAUUUCACAAAGUUGACAUCUCUGAAUUUCACGGGAUCUUUAUUCCUAACUGAAAUCCCCGACCUAUCCAGCAGCCAAAACUUAAGGUCCUUGAAUGCGAAUGGUUGUACAAGUUUAGUCAAGGUUCAUCCAUCUGUUGGAUAUCUGGAUAGACUUGAAGUAUUGUCUUUUUGUCACUGCCAUAAACUCAGGAAGUUUCCAAAUAAAGUUAGGUUGAAAUCUCUGAAAAAAUUUCAUCUUUUCGGUUGCAUAAAGUUGAAGAGUUUUCCAGAAAUUGUGGACAAAAUGGAAUCCUUAAAUGAAUUGGACCUUGGGGUAACUGGUAUUAGAGAGUUGCCUGCAUCAAUUGGACAUCUCAUUCGGCUGAAAGAAUUGGGUUUACGUGGAAGUGCUAUAAAAGAGUUGCCUUCAUCCGUUGGAAAUCUCACUGCCCUGCAAAUUUUAGGGUUAGGUGGAAGUGCUAUAGAAGAGUUGCCUUCAUCAAUUGGAAAUCUCACUAAGCUUCUUCGUUUAGAUUUAUGCAAAUGUGAAAACCUUGCAAAUCUUCCACAAAGUAUUUAUGAGUUGCAAAAUCUGCUGUUUAUUAAUCUCGAUGGAUGCCCAAAACUUGUCACACUUCCAAAUAACUUGAUCUCUGAAGUUUUAUCGAGUGCAGAAUCACUUCCUUUGAAGGUUCGAACCAAAGCAUACAUUUCAUACGGUAGAUGCUCGCUGGAUUUUAAAGAGUGCAAUGUAUCAGACAUUGAUUCCUUGGAGAAUUUUUGUUGGUGGUCCAACUUACGGAAAAUUAAUCUAUCCCAAAGCAAUUUUGUCAGACUUCCUGUGUGCAUUAGCAAAUGUGUCAACUUGCGGGAGCUUUAUUUGAGUGGUUGCAAGAAGCUUGUAGAAAUUCUAGGAGAACUUCCAGCGUCUAUAGAAAGGAUCAGUAUGGCUGAUUGCAUAUCACUGGAAAGAUUUUCAACAUUAUCAAAGAUACUGGAAGACGGAGACAUGCAAUUGAUUAAAUUCAUGAACUUGUCUAAUUGUCAUGGGCUAUGUGAUAAUUUAGGGUUGGACGUUUCAAAUAUGGCAAAAUUAUUUAAUGAGGUGAAGAGGAGCAAGGGGAUUGAGGUUAAACUAUCUGGCAAUGAAGUUCCGGAGUGGUUCACUUUUCGCAAUUACUUUAAUGACCACGUUAGGGACUAUGAUGAUGAUGAUUGUACGAAUUACGAACUUCCUAUUGAAAUUCCUCGGACUUCCGUAUUGGAGAACACAGAAUUAGUUUUGUGUGCUGUUUGGGAAAUUACGGAAUCAUUUGUUGACAUUUGUUUUCUUCGAUUUUAUAUGUCGAAUUAUUUUCAAAAAAGUGAUUGGCAUAUAUCUCAAGGAGAGACACGGGCAGGUAAUGUGUGGCUGAAAUGUGUUCCAUUAAUGUUAAAUGAUGAAUCAACGCCGCCUAUUUUUCGAGUUGUUGUUUACGGCGGUGGGUUGCGCAUCAAAAGCAUUGGGGCCCACCUGGCUCAUAUCAGUAUGGAUGGCAAACAUAAUUGAUGAAAAUGAAUUAGAAUAGAUGAUGAUGGUGAUGAAGUUGGACCCAGAAGGAGAACAAAGAUGUGACCUCUGUCUGCAUUUCAAAAAGUGAAUUUCAUUAAAAACUCACAAAGGGCAUAACAAUACACAAAAAGUGAGAUCCAACCACUAAGCUCAUCAACAGAGUGAAAAUAACAGUGGCCCAAAUAAAGUGCAAAAGAACCAACAAGUUAAAAACCUAGAAGGCAUUAAGCCCACACAAGCCCAUACAAGGGCAAGAAAGUUAACAAACUCUAACCAAAAUUCAACAGAGCUGCCUCCGCCAUCGCCUGAGACGACAUCACCAAGACAAGUUGAAGAGAAGAGCUGCCACACCCAAGGGGCACAAAGCGAACAAAUCGCACAACCAACAAAUCCACCCAAAUAUCUUAUAAUCCCACAUAUUACAAAGACACACACAAGAAAAAAGAAGUCAGCCCCAAAAAAACCAUCACCUCCCAAAUCAAACUUGGCAAAGCACCAGAACAAACACAAAAACCAAACAAACAUCAACAUAGUAGAAGAAGAUGGUGCAGGCACCCGAGAAAGAGCAAAAGCUUGAACUCUACACAUCUUCAGAGUUGUGCGCGGGAAACCGCAUUUUCGGCUAGCCAAAGCUGCUACAAGGUGAAGCCAGAUCAAAAGGGAGGAAACUUUUGGUGGGAAGGACCAAGACCAUAGAGAAGGGAUUUGAAUGGAGUGUGUGAGGGAGAUAAGAGGAAAUGGAUGGAGGGAUUAUAAGUGAGUCAUUUUCCUCUAGGAAGAGAUUAUAAGCUGGGUGCCCCAACUGUUCGUUUUUGUAUUUUUAGCAUCUCCUUGUUUUCCGAUAUUUCUAUUUUUGAAUGCCUCUUUGCCACACACCUCAGGACGACUUCCUCUUGAUUAUUUUUAUGCCAUAACAAUGACCUUGUGUUGUAUUAUUAGUCCUAAUAUGAACCCGUGAUGUCUUUAUAUUUAUUGUUUUGCUAUUUUCUUAUGUAAUGUCGGUAUGUGCUGAAG